GCCAAUUUAGUCACUCAAUUUUUAAUGGUACUCAAUUUUGGUCUAAAUCUCAAUCUUUAAAUCUCAGUCGUUGAUCAAAAACUGAUUUGACGGCUGAAACCAAAUCCCCUUACCUUCCUUUUAAACCAACAACAAACCCUAACCCUAAUCUCAUUCCCUAUCAUCCUCCCCCUCUUGAUCCCUCUCUCUACUCCCUCUCUCUCAAAGAACCUCUUCUGUCGUCCCUCUCCACAUUGGCACCAACGCGAAAUCUAACACCACCACGAAACCCCCAUCAUCUUCUUUUUCCGGUGCCUCAAAAGAGCGUCAGUCGUCGGAGCCAGCCAUAAACGCCACCCUCGCUGCCAAUCCCCUUUGUCUCAGCCCAGAUCUGACGCCGCCAAGAAUAGCGGCAAUGGCCCCGCCCUAUUUUGCUCCAGCCAGCAUCACCAUGCCAUCCCUUCAUCUCUGACCACCCCCAAUGAUGACAUCAUCCCAUCCUCCGUGACCUCAGAUCUCCCAUGCAUCAUCGCUGUCGAAGACCCGCUCCAACGUCUCUAACGAUGGCUAGUCCUAGCCGUGGUCCUCAGACCCCGCCACCACGACUUCACUGCCUCCGAGCUUUCUCUACUCCUCCAUCACUACUCCAAUACCUCCACCAGCAAGUCGACCAGCACCGCUACCACCAAAGGUGAUAGCACUUCUAUCGCUUUCCCCUUUCUCCAGCGCCUCUAUCUUCCCCACUAAUCAUCGAAAAAUUGCGAUGAAUUCGUAAUAAAUUCAUCCAGGUGAAACAGACACUUACAAGUUUCAAAGAGUCGCCGGAAUAUUUAAACUAUGUAUUUUUUUAACUAGUUAUUUUUCCCUUGAUUUCUAUUUGGUCUGUAAUAUAUUGUAAAACACUUUUAUUGUUAUUAUAAUAAUUAGAUUUGGAGGACUGCUUUGGGGGUGGA